rnacentral:rRNA from 1 species
UGGCUAACUCCUACGGGAGGCAGCAGUAGGGAAUCUUCCGCAAUGGACGAAAGUCUGACGGAGCAACGCCGCGUGAGCGAAGAAGGCCUUCGGGUCGUAAAGCUCUGUUGUUAGGGAAGAACAAGUAGCGCAGUAACUGGCGUUACCGUGACGGUACCUAACGAGAAAGCCACGGCUAACUACGUGCCGGCAGCCGCGGUAAUACGUAGGUGGCAAGCGUUGUCCGGACUUAUUGGGCGUAAAGCGCGCGCAGGCGGUUCCUUAAGUCUGAUGUGAAAGCCCACGGCUCAACCGUGGAGGGUCAUUUGAAACUGGGGGACUUGAGUGCAGAAGAGGAGAGCGGAAUUCCAUGUGUAGCGGUGAAAUGCGUAGAGAUGUGGAGGAACACCAGUGGCGAAGGCGGCUCUCUGGUCGGUAACUGACGCUGAGGCGCGAAAGCGUGGGGAGCAAACAGGAUUAGAAACCCCGGUAGUCCAGCUGG